rnacentral:lncRNA from 1 species
UCCAAUAAUUCUCAACAGAGUCUAGGUCAGAACACAGAACUUCAGACCCUCUAAGUAGUCACAGGAGUAACUCGUGCCUGAGCUGGAAGGAGAAUCCCAGGAAAGGUUCACCGUCGACCUCUCCGAAGCUCUGGAGAGGAAAGGGAGGAGAAUAAACGUUUGUGGCCCUAGGCUUGCUAGGGAGAGGUCACACAUCCGGGCCCUCCGCAUUCAUCCAGAUCCAGACGCUUCAGUCUCAGCACGUGUCCAUCAUU